UAGCCAUGAUGUGGGCAAGAGUUCAGAAUAUCCUUGAAUCUCUCCCAGUAUUGGAAGAAGGUCUCUUCCUUUUUCUGAGAGAAAUUCAUGAUCUCCCUCCUAAGGGU